rnacentral:rRNA from 1 species
AACGAACGCUGGCGGCAUGCCUAACACAUGCAAGUCGAACGAGACCUUCGGGUCUAGUGGCGCGCGGGUGCGUAACGCGUGGGAACCUGCCCUUAGGUUCGGAAUAACUCCCCGAAAGGGGUGCUAAUACCGGAUAAUGUCUUCGGACCAAAGAUUUAUCGCCUUUGGAUGGGCCCGCGUUGGAUUAGCUAGUUGGUAGGGUAAAAGCCUACCAAGGCGACGAUCCAUAGCUGGUCUGAGAGGAUGAUCAGCCACACUGGGACUGAGACACGGCCCAGACUCCUACGGGAGGCAGCAGUGGGGAAUAUUGGACAAUGGGCGAAAGCCUGAUCCAGCAAUGCCGCGUGAGUGAUGAAGGCCUUAGGGUUGUAAAGCUCUUUUACCCGGGAUGAUAAUGACAGUACCGGGAGAAUAAGCUCCGGGUAACUCCGUG